rnacentral:misc_RNA from 1 species
AACUUUCGGCAACGGAUCUCUUGGCUCUCGCAUCGAUGAAGAACGCAGCGAAAUGCGGUAAGUAAUGUGAAUUGCAGAAUUCAGUGAAUCAUCGAAGCUUUGAACGCACCUUGCACCCUUUGGCAUUCCGAAGGGGAUGCUCGUUUGAGUGUCAUUGUACUCUCAUGCUCCCGAGGCUUUUGGAUCGGGAGUGGUGGACUUGGGUGUUGCUGCUUCACUGUGGCUCACCUGAAAUGCAUUAGUGCAACUGUUGACUAACCAUAGUAUGGCAUGAUAAGCAUCUUUGCCAGCACCUCUCCGGAGGGUGGUCAGUCAAGAGCUCUGUGCUUCUAACUGUCUUUGGACAAUGUUGACAACUUGACCUCAAAUUGAGUAGGACUACCCGCUGAACUUAAGCAUAUCAAUAAGCGGAGGCU